rnacentral:rRNA from 1 species
UACGGGGGGGGCAAGCGUUGUUCGGAAUUACUGGGCGUAAAGGGCUCGUAGGUGGCCAAUUAAGUCAGACGUGAAAUCCCCAGGCUCAACCUGGGAACUGCGUCUGAUACUGGUUGGCUUGAAUUCGGGAGAGGGGUGCAGAAUUCCAGGUGUAGCGGUGAAAUGCGUAGAUAUCUGGAGGAAUACCGGUGGCGAAGGCGGCAUCCUGGACCGAGAUUGACACUGAGGAGCGAAAGCCAGGGGAGCAAACGGG